rnacentral:lncRNA from 1 species
UGUAGCUGUAGUAUUAUCCUUUGACUCUGUAGACUCCACUUCUUUUCCCUUUUUCUUGUUCUUUUUAGGUUGCUUACAUUGGUUCUUGUAAUGUCCUUUCUCAUCACAGUUAUAGCAAACAAUAUCUUUUCUUGAUCUUGACUUGCUUCUACCCAUGCGUGAAUUGCUUCUAGAUUUUGACCUUCCUCUAUUCUCUGAGAUAAGUGCUUG